UUGUAGAAACUGCAGCUGCUGGUCCACCGCUACACUCUUCUCCUUCACUACAUAGCCAAGCUUGGAUGGUCCUCAGAGGUCCUCAUAGCCACUUAUCCGGGCUCCGAAUGAUCUCACAACCACCUGAAUUCCUUAAUGCAUCCGCCACUGCAAAAGAUUGAACAUUAUGCAACGAACUGGGCCAGGAGAUUGUUCCAAUUGGGUUCUAUAGUACACUACCCUCCCAGCCCAUGUAAAAUCACUACUCGCCGAUUCAAGCCGAUAAUUCAACUCCAACUGAGGAAGCAACAGGUGUGCACAUAUCACCACCACAAGCUUGUGUGUGGUAAUGGAUCUGGAUCAGUAGGUUCAAAGUCACUGAGAUUGUGGGCUGUGAUGAUUGGAUUGUUGAUGAUGAUUAAUCAAUGGAUUAAUUUUUAAAAAAUAAGUUGUUUAUUCCUCUCUAACUGUAGAGGUGUGUUUUACAUCCCCUUUGAACUUAGAAGCAGUACUUAAAAGAAUGUCUUUUUUCAAGAGUUGUCCAUGCUGGUUGGUUGUACAAGAUGAAGUUGUUCAUUUUAUUCUUUUCUUUUCAAAAAGAGAGAAUAUAGUUUAAUGUAGUUGCUUUACACAAACUUUGUAUGUCUCCAAUAUACGGUAGAGUGUUUUUGUAAAAAGUUGUGAGUAUAAUCAGCUUUGAAAUAAAUCAGUUAAUUAUUUAGUAAAA